UGAAUCUUUCAAAUUAUUGAGAACUCAAACAUGUUUGAGUGCAAUGAACCUUUUAUUUGUAUAGGAAGAUCUGAUGU
rnacentral:snoRNA from 1 species